rnacentral:rRNA from 1 species
GACGAACGCUGGCGGCGUGCUUAACACAUGCAAGUCGAACGGAAAGGCCCUGCUUUUGUGGGUUGCUCGAGUGGCGAACGGGUGAGUAACACGUGAGUAACCUGCCCUUGACUUUUGGAUAACUUCAGGAAACUGGGGCUAAUACCGGAUAGGAGCUCCUGCUGCAUGGUGGGGGUUGGAUAGUUUCGGCGGUUGGGGAUGGACUCGCGGCUUAUCAGCUUGUUGGUGGGGUAGUGGCUUACCAAGGCUUUGACGGGUAGCCGGCCUGAGAGGGUGACCGGCGACAUUGGGACUGAGAUAGGGCCCAGACUCCAACGGGAGGCAGCAGUGGGGAAUAUUGCACAAUGGGCGGAAGCCUGAUGAAGCAGCGCCGCGUGCGGGAUGACGGCCUUCGGGUUGUAAACCGCUUUCGCCUGUGACGAAGCGUGAGUGACGGUAAUGGGUAAAGAAGCACCGGCUAACUACGUG